rnacentral:rRNA from 1 species
UACGUAGGAGGCGAGCGUUGUCCGGAGUUACUGGGCGUAAAGGGUCUGUAGGCGGUUUGGUAAGUUCGGAGUGACAGUUCCCGGCUUAACCGGGAAAGGUCUUCGAAAACUGCUGAACUUGAGGGCUUCAGAGGGAGGCGGAAUUCCGAGUGGAGCGGUGAAAUGCGUAGAUAUUCGGAAGAACACCAACGGCGAAGGCAGCCUCCUGGGAAGUACCUGACGCUGAGGGACGAAAGCUAGGGGAG